UACGUAGGGCGCAAGCGUUAUCCGGAAUUAUUGGGCGUAAAGAGCUCGUAGGCGGCUUGUCACGUCGAUUGUGAAAGCCCGAGGCUUAACCUCGGGUCUGCAGUCGAUACGGGCUAGCUAGAGUGUGGUAGGGGAGAUCGGAAUUCCUGGUGUAGCGGUGAAAUGCGCAGAUAUCAGGAGGAACACCGGUGGCGAAGGCGGAUCUCUGGGCCUUACCUGACGCUGAGGCGCGAAGGCUAGGGGAGCGAACAGG
rnacentral:rRNA from 1 species